UGGGGCUGCAAUAGUCCCGAUCCGAGCAGCUGAAGAACAGACCCCGACGCCAGCACUCCUGACAACAGUAGGGUAGAUCUCUGCGGUGUAGAUGUAGACCACGGUGAACGACAUUGUGAAGGCAAACUUCCCAACCAUCUCCACAGCUAUAGCAACACCUUGCAGAUCUACAGGACAGAGAAAGACAUCGAGAUACAUCGUCUCUCAGUAUGGCCUCAGCCUCCUCUACUCUUCCCUGAGAGUAUAGCCAACGUGGAGACUCUGGGAUGAACCUGACAUAGACAGUGUUUAUAGUGAGGUAGAGGACGGAACACAGUGAUUGCAGGGAGAAACAGUACCUGUCAGAAAGCUGUCCAGACAACAGGGAUCCAAUCAGGAAACCCACAAAAAGAGUCGACGAGGCAAAAGGAGUUUUCCACUCAUUGUCACAUACAAGGUCCCACUGCAGGAAAACAAACCCAUUAUUCCUGAAGUGACAGCACCUGUGGCAGCAGAAGGCUCUAGUAACAAACCCAUGCUGAAAAACAACAUUUAAUUUGCCCCAAAAGUGUAAGAGAAGGACAGGAGCUGGGGAUGUUGCACAUUUUCACUGAUGCCAAUGGAAGUUUCAGGCAAUUACCAAAGCCGUUAACACCUCCCCAGUGACGUUGAUCACUCAACAAUUCCCAAUACUGUAAUUCCAAAUCAAAUAUCAGUGGCAUGCAUGUUUGAUUAGAUACUCAUGAUUCUGGUAAUUAUCUAAGCAAGAAACAUACUAGGUGUAGUACUACCAAUUCACUAUUUCAUGGCCAAAUGUUUGUGACACAUGACUGCCCUGGGCAACAUAUACUCACCUCAGUGACUAUGGUGGACUGGUAUAUAUCUUUGCUGUAGCUCCAUCCAUCCACACAGCACUCCUGCUCCACCCCAGUGAGGUUGACGUCCAGGCCGGGGAUGUAGCCCAGAGCAGACAGGUUUCUGACCACAUCCAGCCUGUAUCUGCUGCACUUGCUCUCCUCCUCCUGUCCGUUCACCACCUCUAUGGGAAUGAUGGC